GACGAACGCUGGCGGCGUGCCUAAUACAUGCAAGUCGACCUUAGUGGCGCCCGGGUGAGUAACACGUGGGUAACCUGCCCAUCAGAAGGGGAUAACACUUGGAAACAGGUGCUAAUACCGUAUACUGAGGGAUGGACCCGCGGUGCAUUAGCUAGUUGGUGCGGUAACGGCUCACCAAGGCCACGCUGCAUAGCUGAUCUGAUAGGGUGAUCGGCAACAUUGGGACUGAGAUACGGCCCACACUACUACGGGAGGAAGAAGUAGGGAAUCUUCGGCAAGGGACGAAAGUCUGACCGAGCAACGCCGCGUGAGUGAAGAAGGUUUUCGGAUCGUAAAACUCUGUUGUUAGAGAAGCGGUAUCUAACCAGAAAGCCACGGCUAACUACGUGCCAGCAGCCGCGGUAAUAC
rnacentral:rRNA from 1 species